ACCUACGGGAGGCAGCAGUGGGGAAUAUUGCACAAUGGAGGAAACUCUGAUGCAGCAACGCCGCGUGGAGGAUGACACAUUUCGGUGCGUAAACUCCUUUUAUAUGGGAAGAUAAUGACGGUACCAUAUGAAUAAGCACCGGCUAACUCCGUGCCAGCAGCCGCGGUAAUACGGAGGGUGCAAGCGUUACUCGGAAUCACUGGGCGUAAAGCGCGCGCAGGCGGCUAUUUAAGUUGGAUGUGAAAGCCUACGGCUCAACCGUAGAACUGCAUCCAAAACUAUUUAGCUAGAGUGUGGGAGAGGAAGAUGGAAUUAGUUGUGUAGGGGUAAAAUCCGUAGAGAUAACUAGGAAUACCAAAAGCGAAGGCAAUCUUCUGGAACAUUACUGACGCUGAGGCGCGAAAGCGUGGGGAGCAAACAGGAUUAGAUACCCUGGUAGUCCACGCCCUAAACGAUGAAUGUUAGUCGUCGGGUAGCUAGUCUAUUCGGUGAUGCAGCUAACGCAUUAAACAUUCCGCCUGGGGAGUACGGUCGCAAGAUUAAAACUCAAAGGAAUAGACGGGGACCCGCACAAGUGGUGGAGCAUGUGGUUUAAUUCGAAGAUACGCGAAGAACCUUACCUAGCCUUGACAUAUUUUAGAACUCUUUAGAGAUAGAGAGGUGCCUUCGGGAGCUAAUAUACAGGUGCUGCACGGCUGUCGUCAGCUCGUGUCGUGAGAUGUUGGGUUAAGUCCCGCAACGAGCGCAACCCUCGUCACUAGUUACUAACGGUUCGGCCGAGGACUCUAGUGAGACUGCCUUCGUAAGGAGGAGGAAGGUGAGGACGACGUCAAGUCAUCAUGGCCCUUACGGCUAGGGCAACACACGUGCUACAAUGGCCAGGACAGUGAGACGCGAUACCG
rnacentral:rRNA from 1 species